rnacentral:rRNA from 1 species
UACGAUGGAGGGCUAGCGUUGUUCGGAAUCACUGGGCGUAAAGGGCGCGUAGGCGGCUUUGUAAGUCGGGGGUGAAAGCCUGUGGCUCAACCACAGAAUUGCCUUCGAUACUGCAUGGCUUGAGACCGGAAGAGGUUAGUGGAACUGCGAGUGUAGAGGUGAAAUUCGUAGAUAUUCGCAAGAACACCAGUGGCGAAGGCGGCUGACUGGUCCGGAUCUGACGCUGAGGCGCGAAAGCGUGGGGAGCAAACAGG